ACCUACACAGUUAUAAAUUAUAUAGAAAACUCUGAACAAUUCGACAAUUACAUUUUUUUUUCAGAUUCAUUAAGCUCAGUGAUAAAUGUAAUCAACAACGAAAAUAAGUGGCAUGAAAUAAAGAAUGAGUUAGAAGUAAAAAACAUCACUAUUGUCUGUAUACCCAGGAGGGCAUAAUAUGAUAAAGUAGAUAAAUUUAAAACUGGAAAAAAAACACGACGUAUAACGAUCAAAUAGAAUUAAAUUUAAAAUAUUAUGAGAACGAAUACGUCAUUAUAAAGACUAUUAGUUUAAACAAUGAUACAAAAUGGUUAUGUGAGUGGAGAAAAAAAGAAAUCAAAUUGAGCGAUGUGAUCUGACCAACCAUGCGUUGGAAAAACCCAGAAAAUCUAAAAAGAAAAGAAGACGUCAUCUUAACGCAUCUUAUAAUUGGCAUAUGUGUAUACGACAUUUUUGAUAUGGUUACUGCCUACAUUGAAAUACAUUGGCAGAGAAGACCCAACCCAAUGCGCAGUUUGUGAAUUACAUUAUGUUAGUAUCAUAACUAAUUUAUAAGUAUUAACUGUCAAGUAUCUUCUCGUUGAAUGCUGAUAAACAACAAAGAUAUCUCUGAAUUUUUGAUCGAUCACUAUAUAACAAGAUGAGACGACUAACAAACUUUAACACUCAGUAUGGAUAAUUUAUUGAGAUAACAGAAUUCAGUUCCAUUUAGUAAUUAAUAUUUUCUUGGGAAAUUUUUUAUGAGUUGAUUUCUGUAGUAGCGAAUUCGUGGUGAUGCAAUGCGAGACGAAUUCCCAUGACAUAUGUAUCCUGUCUACUGCAAUUUUUUUUUAAAAAAAUUUCAUUGUAUUUCGUUUUCACCAUUUUGUGAAAUAUUAUUGUGCAAUCGCAGGUUCUUAAAAUACUUUUUUUUUUACAUUUUAAUUGAAAACAAAAAUGAUUCAGUGUGUAUUAAAUGUAGGGUAUUCAAGUUAUA